GAUGAACGCUGACAGCAUGCUUAACACAUGCAAGUCAACUUGAACUUCGGUUUGGGUGGCGGACGGGUGAGUAACGCGUAAGGAACUUGCCUCACAGAUAGGGACAACAUUUGGAAACGAAUGCUAAUACCUGAUAUUAUGAUUAUAUGGCAUCGUAUAAUUAUGAAAGCUAUAUGCGCUGUGAGAGAGCUUUGCGUCCCAUUAGCUAGUUGGAGAGGUAACGGCUCACCAAGGCGAUGAUGGGUAGCCGGCCUGAGAGGGUGAUCGGCCACAAGGGGACUGAGACACGGCCCUUACGCCUACGGGAGGCAGCAGUGGAGAAUAUUGGAAAAUGGACCAAGAGUCUGAUCCAGCAAUUCUGUGUGCACGAUGAAGUUUUUCGGAAUGUAAAGUGCUUUCAGUUGGGAAGAAAAAAAUGACGGUACCAACAGAAGAAGUGACGGCUAAAUACGUG
rnacentral:rRNA from 1 species